rnacentral:rRNA from 1 species
CGACGGUUGUCCCGGUUUAAGCGUGUAGGUGUGUGUUCCAGGUAAAUCCGGUUCACUUUAACACUGAGGCGUGACGACGAGGCACUACGGUGCUGAAGCAACAAAUGCCCUGCUUCCAGGAAAAGCCUCUAAGCAUCAGGUAACACGAAAUCGUACCCCAAACCGACACAGGUGGUCAGGUAGAGAAUACCAAGGCGCUUGAGAGAACUCGGGUGAAGGAACUAGGCAAAAUGGUGCCGUAACUUCGGGAGAAGGCACGCUGACACGUAGGUGAAGUGAUUUACUCAUGGAGCUGAAGUCAGUCGAAGAUACCAGCUGGCUGCAACUGUUUAUUAAAAACACAGCACUGUGCAAACACGAAAGUGGACGUAUACGGUGUGACGCCUGCCCGGUGCCGGAAGGUUAAUUGAUGGGGUCAGCGCAAGCGAAGCUCCUGAUCGAAGCCCCGGUAAACGGCGGCCGUAACUAUAACGGUCCUAAGGUAGCGAAAUUCCUUGUCGGGUAAGUUCCGACCUGCACGAAUGGCGUAAUGAUGGCCAGGCUGUCUCCACCCGAGACUCAGUGAAAUUGAACUCGCUGUGAAGAUGCAGUGUACCCGCGGCAAGACGGAAAGACCCCGUGAACCUUUACUAUAGCUUGACACUGAACAUUGAGCCUUGAUGUGUAGGAUAGGUGGGAGGCUUUGAAGUGUGGACGCCAGUCUGCAUGGAGCCGACCUUGAAAUACCACCCUUUAAUGUUUGAUGUUCUAACGUGGACCCGUAAUCCGGGUUGCGGACAGUGUCUGGUGGGUAGUUUGACUGGGGCGGUCUCCUCCUAAAGAGUAACGGAGGAGCACGAAGGUUGGCUAAUCCUGGUCGGACAUCAGGAGGUUAGUGCAAUGGCAUAAGCCAGCUUGACUGCGAGCGUGACGGCGCGAGCAGGUGCGAAAGCAGGUCAUAGUGAUCCGGUGGUUCUGAAUGGAAGGGCCAUCGCUCAACGGAUAAAAGGUACUCCGGGGAUAACAGGCUGAUACCGCCCAAGAGUUCAUAUCGACGGCGGUGUUUGGCACCUCGAUGUCGGCUCAUCACAUCCUGGGGCUGAAGUAGGUCCCAAGGGUAUGGCUGUUCGCCAUUUAAAGUGGUACGCGAGCUGGGUUUAGAACGUCGUGAGACAGUUCGGUCCCUAUCUGCCGUGGGCGCUGGAGAACUGAGGGGGGCUGCUCCU